rnacentral:rRNA from 1 species
CCCGCUGAACUUAAGCAUAUCAGUAAGCGGAGGAAAAGAAACUAACAAGGAUUCCCCUAGUAACUGCGAGUGAAGCGGGAAAAGCUCAAAUUUAAAAUCUGGCAGUCUCUGGCUGUCCGAGUUGUAAUCUAGAGAAGCAUUAUCCGCGCUGGACCGUGUACAAGUCUCCUGGAAUGGAGCGUCAUAGAGGGUGAGAAUCCCGUCUUUGACACGGACUGCCAGGGCUUUGUGAUGUGCUCUCAAAGAGUCGAGUUGUUUGGGAAUGCAGCUCAAAAUGGGUGGUAAAUUCCAUCUAAAGCUAAAUAUUGGCGAGAGACCGAUAGCGAACAAGUACCGUGAGGGAAAGAUGAAAAGAACUUUGGAAAGAGAGUUAAACAGUACGUGAAAUUGCUGAAAGGGAAACGCUUGAAGUCAGUCGCGUCGUUCGGGAUUCAGCUUCAGCUUCUGCUGGGUGUACUUCCUGUUCGACGGGUCAGCAUCAGUUUUGGCCGGUGGAUAAAGGCUCGGGGAAUGUGGCAUCCUUGGAUGUGUUAUAGCCCUGGGUCGCAUACAUCGGCUGGGACUGAGGAACUCAGCACGCCGCAAGGCCAGGUUUCGACCAUGUUCGUGCUUAGGAUGCUGGCAUAAUGGCUUUAAUCGACCCGUCUUGAAACACGG